CCCCACAACGAGGAUUUAAGGGCUGACCCCAGACUCCGAGUGGAGGUUUACACUCUGAUCCACCGACCAGGAGACUAAAAGGAGGUUAAGGUCAUAAAGAGACUCUUCAGUCUGAACGUGGAGGGACGUGGACACGAGAGCGGAGUUCCCGAGACGACGUCCGGCAGCCGAGGCGGAGGACAGGUCAGACGUUAAAUAAGGAGACGUGAGACUGAACUCAUCCUGCAGGGACUGGAGAGGAGCAGGUCAGAACAUUUUCAGAACCUUUUCUUCUCUGCAGCUCAAAUUAAAACCUCAAUCUUCAGUGAUCAUUCGGCGGAGCAGGACAUGGCUCAGGCCGAGCAGCUGCAGCUGAAGGCCG